rnacentral:rRNA from 1 species
CUUACCAAGGCUGCGAUGGGUAACCGGCCUGAGAGGGUGAACGGUCACACUGGAACUGAGACACGGUCCAGACUCCUACGGGAGGCAGCAGUGGGGAAUAUUGCACAAUGGAGGAAACUCUGAUGCAGCGACGCCGCGUGAGUGAUGAAGGCUUUCGAGUCGUAAAACUCUGUCCUUGGGGACGAUAAUGACGGUACCCAAGGAGGAAGCCCCGGCUAACUAC